rnacentral:SRP_RNA from 1 species
CGGCCGGGCCCGGACAAGCUGUGCCUGCAGAACUUGGUCAGGCGCGGAAGCGAGCAGCCACAUGCCAGACAUUGCUGUGUUUGGAAAACCCGGCCGCUU